rnacentral:rRNA from 1 species
ACAUCGACGAAGGUGGACUUGUACUAGAAGUUCCUAAUCAACAGGCCAGUACGUAGUUACAUGAUUGGGGUG